rnacentral:miRNA from 1 species
GUGUCCUUGCUGUCCUGUGCCCUCCUGGCUUCUGCCUGUCCUGGAGGGUGGCCGGAUCUUGGGUUGUGUCCCUGGCGCCCUGUGCUCCCAGGCCUGUGCUGUU